rnacentral:rRNA from 1 species
AUUGAACGCUGGCGGCAGGCCUAACACAUGCAAGUCGAGCGAGCGGCGGCCGGGUGAGUAAGUAUGGGGGAUUGCCCCAAUGGGGGGGGAUACCUAUUGGAAACGGUGCCUAAUACCGCUAACUUUCGGAUGACCCCAUAUGGGAUUAGCUAGUAGGUGGGGUAAAGCCUCACCUAGGCGACGAUCCCUAGCUGGUCUGAGAGGAUGAUCAGCCACACUGGGACUGAGACACGGCCCAGACUCCUACGGGAGGCAGCAGUGGGGAAUAUUGCACAAUGGGCGCAAGCCUGAUGCAGCCAUGCCGCGUGUAUGAAGAAGGCCUUAGGGUUGUAAAGUACUUUCAGCGGGGAGGCGUUACCCGCAGAAGAAGCACCGGCUAACUCCGUGCCAGCAGCCGCGGUAAUUC